rnacentral:rRNA from 1 species
CAAUAGCGUAUAUUUAAGUUGUUGCAGUUAAAAAGCUCGUAGUUGGAUUUCGGAUGGGACUUGCCGGUCCGUCGUUUCGAUGUGCACUGGCCAGUCCUAUCUUGUUGUCGGGGACUAGCUCCUGGGCUUCACUGUCCGGGACUAGGAGCUGACGAGGUUACUUUGAGUAAAUUAGAGUGUUCAAAGCAAGCCUACGCUCUGAAUACAUUAGCAUGGAAUAACACGACAGGACUCUGGCUUAUCUUGUUGGUCUGUGAGACCAGAGUAAUGAUUAAGAGGGACAGUCGGGGGCAUUCGUAUUUCAUUGUCAGAGGUGAAAUUCUUGGAUUUAUGAAAGACGAACUUCUGCGAAAGCAUUUGUCAAGGAUGUUUUCAUUAA